AAAGUCGUAACAAGGUCUCCGUAGGUGAACCUGCGGAGGGAUCAUUAUCAGUUAACAACUCACCCGAAGUCCUCCGGGACUGAGGGUGCACGAGUAAACAAACCCUUUGUCGUCCGACCAUGUUGCCUCGGGGGAGACCCUGCCUUCGGGCGGGUGGCACCCCGGUGGACCAAACCAAACUCUUGCAUAACAAUGUAGUCUGAGUGAUUUAAACAAUAAAUCAAAACUUUCAACAACGGAUCUCUUGGUUCUG
rnacentral:misc_RNA from 1 species